GACGAACGCUGGCGGCGUGCCUAAUACAUGCAAGUCGAGCGGAAGUUGGAGAGCUUGCUCUUCAACUUUAGCGGCGGACGGGUGAGUAACACGUGGGCAACCUGCCCUGCAGAUCGGGAUAACUCCGGGAAACCGGUGCUAAUACCGAAUAGUUUUCGCCACCUCCUGGUGGCGUACGGAAAGACGGUUUCGGCUGUCACUGCAGGAUUGGCCCGCGGCGCAUUAGCUAGUUGGUGGGGUAACGGCCCACCAAGGCGACGAUGCGUAGCCGACCUGAGAGGGCGAUCGGCCACACUGGGACUGAGACACGGCCCAGACUCCUACGGGAGGCAGCAGUAGGGAAUCUUCCGCAAUGGACGAAAGUCUGACGGAGCAACGCCGCGUGAGUGACGAAGGUUUUCGGAUCGUAAAACUCUGUUGUGAGGGAAGAACAAGUACCACUUAACUACUGGUACCUUGACGGUACCUCACCAGAAAGCCACGGCUAACUACGUGCCAGCCGCCGCGGUAACAC
rnacentral:rRNA from 1 species